ACAGCAUGGGGAAGGCUGGAGUGGGACACGCAUUGAGAAAUGAAAUCCGUCACUUCCCAGAUUUCGAACGCAUCCUUAGAGUGCAUUACUUUUAUGUGCUUGCGUUCGGUCUUGGGAUUUCUCAGCAGAUGUCGCCAACAGCAGAGAGAUUGAUCUAGAAUGUCUCGUUAUCGGAAAAGUAUGGUAGCUAUACGCCAAAUGGUUUUUGCGUAUAGUUACCAUAUUACUUCCGAUAUGACUGUUGACAUUACUGCGGAUAUGACCGAGCAGUGCAUUGGCAAUAUGCCAAGGGCAAAUAAGGGAGAAGUGUAGGGGGCGGCGGGUGAGGUGCAGAAGAAGAAUAAGAAGAAGUUGUACCUAUCCAGUAAUUUUAUCUUGAUUUGUGGAUUAGACGAAGACUAGAUUUUGAUAAAGAAAUCGACAAACUUGAACUGCAGCACUCCAGCAGCCUUACCCCGCGUUCGAUGUCUCUCGGAUGACGAAGAUUCUACGUCGUCCAGCCAAUCCCGUCCAAGGACUCGUGGCGCUGCUCGCCUCCUCGCCAAUGCGAACGCGUUCUCUGAGGACAACCCGCCCAAGGCUAGUAUGGCGAAGCCACGCCACCGCGCCGGCUAUAGACUCACGGCCUGAAGCGAGUUUGGGCGCGACGGCUGGCGAGCCAAGGCGGCGGAAAGUCGUCUGGCGGAGCUCCCGUCUGAGGCGAGCUUGAUCUGGUCAGACAGCUCCGCCACCGAUGGUGUGCUAGAUGGAGGAGGAGGGGCCACCCCCCCCCCCCCUGAACCGCGACAUCCGGGAGGUGCGUGUCGCGGCAGGCGCCCUCUGCUCUAGCACGCGCGGCGAGCUAUUCGCCCUAAGAGCGGUGUUGGAGGAGCUGUUGACCAAGACUGGUCGCGACACCUCUCUUCCGAUAAUUAUCGUCUGUACCCACUCGAUGGCGGCGCUGGCCCUCCUGCGGAGCGGCGCGGCGGCCCAGAGAGCCCCUCUGGCCGCAGACAUAUGGGGGCUGCUGGCAGCGCUCACCGAGGGGGCCAUCCAGUGAUAAUGCAGUGGGUUCCUGCACACUGCGGGCUUCCGGGCAACGAGCGGAUGGACGCCCUCGCGCGCGAGGCUGGCGCCCUAUCCCAACGGUAGCGCCGUCCGCCGAUCGACUUGGGCAGCACUAUCUGCAAGGCAGGCGCGCGCGACGCUGCGCGCGCCUGGCGGCGGAGCUGGCAGGACGGAUGACCCUGGCUGCCGCCGUGAGAACCAUCCAGAACCGUACGGCUAUGCUGCGGCAGCGGCUGAAAGGAACGCAACAACAAUAACUACAACAGCAGCUGCUAAUGAAAGGGGAAAUCAUGGAGCCGGAUGACCCGGCACAUGGCGCUCAGCCAGCUGAGAAUGAGAGCAGCUAUCAAAUCGCCAGCAGGGUGCUGCGGCUGGUAACUGACGACCUUGGAAGAGAGAGCGCCUCCGCUGAUGCGGAUGAAACUACCCCCUCUCGGGUUUGUUUGACGCCGUCUCCGUCGACUCUUUCGCCUGGGCCGGCUGGCGACCGCGCUACAUUUCUUGUGCAGUGACUCGUAACUGUGUUCACCAAACUUUUAAAACUCCCCACGUUAGCAUCUUUAAAGAAUGUUUUCCUCGUACACUGCUGCAAUGUCUUAUGUAGGCAUGUUGUACAGUCUAAACGAGUGUGGAAUGCUUUGUUGUGCUUGUUUUGUAUUUCGUUUGCUAUUUAUCACGGUGACUAUAAUUUAUUUUGACCAACCCUUGCCUUGUUACAAUUUUAGUGGAUGGUUUCUGAACUGCUGUUUGCAUUAUAGAUGUUGCUAGUGCGUAGACGCCAAAGAUUACUUUAUACCUAUUGACGCGCCAGAUAAAGGAGGUGAAGUAUUCCUCUGAUCUAUACCUACGGAAUUCCUUUAUGUGUGUUUUGUAAUCGAUAUUGGCGGUUUUCUUAUGUGAUGCGGUGUAGAGCGUGGCUGAGGAAGGCGAUGUUUAAAGUUGCUAGUUAUUUUUCAAUACAUCUUUGAUCGGAC
rnacentral:lncRNA from 1 species